AGUGAACGCUGGCGGUAGGCCUAACACAUGCAAGUCGAACGGCAGCACAGUAGGAGCUUGCUCUUACGGGUGGCGAGUGGCGGACGGGUGAGGAAUACAUCGGAAUCUACUUUUUCGUGGGGGAUAACGUAGGGAAACUUACGCUAAUACCGCAUACGACCUACGGGUGAAAGCAGGGGAUCUUCGGACCUUGCGCGAUUGAAUGAGCCGAUGUCGGAUUAGCUAGUUGGCGGGGUAAAGGCCCACCAAGGCGACGAUCCGUAGCUGGUCUGAGAGGAUGAUCAGCCACACUGGAACUGAGACACGGUCCAGACUCCUACGGGAGGCAGCAGUGGGGAAUAUUGGACAAUGGGCGCAAGCCUGAUCCAGCUAUACCGCGUGGGUGAAGAAGGCCUUCGGGUUGUAAAGCCCUUUUGUUGGGAAAGAAAAGCAGCAGGUUAAUACCCCGCUGUUCUGACGGUACCCAAAGAAUAAGCACCGGCUAACUUCGUG
rnacentral:rRNA from 1 species